GACGAACGCUGGCGGCGUGCCUAAUACAUGCAAGUUGAGCGCUGAAUGUUGGUACUCGUACCUACUGGAUGAGCAGCGAACGGGUGAGUAACGCGUGGGGAAUCUGCCUUUGAGCGGGGGACAACAUUUGGAAACGAAUGCUAAUACCGCAUAAAAACUUUAAACACAAGUUUUAAGUUUGAAAGAUGCAAUUGCACCACUCAAAGAUGAUCCCGCGUUGUAUUAGCUAGUUGGUGUGGUAAAGGCUCACCAAGGCGAUGAUACAUAGCCGACCUGGGAGGGUGAUCGGCCACAUUGGGACUGAGACACGGCCCAAACUCCUACGGGAGGCAGCAGUAGGGAAUCUUCGGCAAUGGACGAAAGUCUGACCGGGCAACGCCGCGUGAGUGAAGAAGGUUUUCGGAUCGUAAAACUCUGUUGGUAGAGAAGAACGUUGGUGAGAGUGGAAAGCUCAUCAAGUGACGGUAACUACCCAGAAAGGGACGGCUAACUACGUG
rnacentral:rRNA from 1 species